GGGACGUUUACAGCAGCGGCAGUAGGAAGUAAAAGAUUUGGAGCGUGAUUUUUGGUUUUACUUUUGAAAAGUUUAUUUGAUCUAACGAGAUCUCUUUCGAGUCAUCUCAAAUAUGUUAGAGUAUUCGAUUGAUCAUCGAUUGCUUUUGAUGGAAUGAUGGUAUGGAAUGUUAUAAAUUCAUGUUUUAAAAGUUAUUAUAUUGUUUUGGACGCACGUAUCCUACUGAGUAUAAAUUACUCACUCCUUCCAUUUUAACUUUUCAGGUCAGAUUGGUCAACGUGGAUGGUGGCUGAGUGGUGCGCAGGUUGCCAA